UACAGAGGUCCCGAGCGUUGUUCGGAUUCACUGGGCGUAAAGGGUGCGCAGGUGGUUUGGCAAGUUUGAUGUGAAAGCCCUGGGCUUAACCCGGGAAUGGCAUUGAAUACUGCUUGAACUGGAGGGUUGGAGGGGGGACUGGAAUUCUUGGUGUAGCAGUGAAAUGCGUAGAUAUCAAGAGGAACACCAGUGGCGAAGGCGAGUCCCUGGACAAACCCUGACACUGAGGUACGAAAGCCAAGGGAGCAAACAGG
rnacentral:rRNA from 1 species